GGUGGCAUUUUAUUUUAUUAGAGGAACCUGUUUAAUAAUCGACAAUCCACGUUAAAUUUAACUUUUUUAAAAAGUCUAUAUACCGCCGUCUAAAGAAAUUAUCUAAAAAUAAUCUCCACUCAUCAUUCUAAAAAGUUAGGUCAAGGUGUAACCUAUAAAAAAGUUUGUAAUGGGUUACAAUAAAUUUCAUUUAAGGAAUAAAAGUUCAAAAUCCUUUACGAAAGAGGAUUUAAAAGUACAUUACUAAUAAUAUUUUUAAACGAAAAUAGAUAAUAGAUGUGCACACAUCGCCCGUCGCUCUU
rnacentral:rRNA from 1 species